rnacentral:rRNA from 1 species
AAUAUUGCGCAAUGGGCGAAAGCCUGACGCAGCGACGCCGCGUGAGUGAAGAAGGCCUUCGGGUUGUAAAACUCUGUCCUUAGGGAAGAAGGACGUGACGGUACCUAAGGAGGAAGCCCCGGCUAACUACGUGCCAGCAGCCGCGGUAAUACGUAGGGGGCGAGCGUUGUCCGGAAUUACUGGGCGUAAAGCGCAUGCAGGCGGCCGCACAAGUUGGAUGUGAAAUCUCCCGGCUCAACUGGGAGGGGACGUUCAAAACUGUGCGGCUCGAGGGCGGUAGAGGAAGGUAGAAUUCCCGGUGUAGUGGUGAAAUGCGUAGAUAUCGGGAGGAAUACCCGUGGCGAAGGCGACCUUCUGGACCGUUUCUGACGCUCAGAUGCGAAAGCUAGGGGAGCGAACGGG